UUGGAGGGCAAGUCUGGUGCCAGCAGCCGCGGUAAUUCCAGCUCCAAUAGCGUAUAUUAAAGUUGUUGCAGUUAAAAAGCUCGUAGUUGAAUUUCGGGGUCAGUAGGUUGGUCAUGCCACUGGUAUGUACUGGUCUCACUGAUUCCUCCUUCCUGAUGAGCCGUAAUGCCAUUAAUUUGGUGUUGCGAGGAAUCUGGACUGUUACUUUGAAAAAAUUAGAGUGUUUAAAGCAAGCUAACGCUUGAAUACAUUAGCAUGGAAUAAUGAAAUAGGACGUUCGAUCCUAUUUUGUUGGUUUCUAGGAUUGACGUAAUGAUUAAUAGGGAUAGUUGGGGGCAUUAGUAUUCAAUUGUCAGAGGUGAAAUUCUUGGAUUUAUUGAAGACUAACUACUGCGAAAGCAUUUGCCAAGGAUGUUUUCAUUAAUCAAGAACGAAAGUUAGGGGAUCGAAGACGAUCAGAUACCGUCGUAGUCUUAACCAUAAACUAUGCCGACUAGGGAUCGGAUGAUGUUAAUUUUUUAAUGACUCAUUCGGCGCCUUACGGGAAACCAAAGUGUUUGGGUUCCK
rnacentral:rRNA from 1 species